CAAAAUCCCGGAGCUGUCGGAAUUCCAAGGAUUUGGGAUUUUUCCCAAAAUCUUCGGGAUCAGCUCGGAAUUCCGGGAGGAGAUGCAGGAAAGCUACGAGAGCGUCAUUUCCUUGGCCGAGGAAAUCGCCAUCAGCUGGCCGCGGAUCACCGCCUUCGCCGAAUCGCACCGGAGACGCGGCCUGGGCGCCGACGCCGCCCCGGCCUCGCCGAGCGACAACGACGAGGAAGAGCCGCCCCCAGAACCUCUGGAAAAACCCGAAAUCCCCGGAACGCCG